rnacentral:tRNA from 1 species
UUAAUUUGCUAAUUUGGCAGAAAAAUUGUCUUAAAUUUAGAAUUUAAUUAUAUGAAUAAAAUUCAUAUUUAGC